GACGAACGCUGGCGGCGUGCCUAAUACAUGCAAGUCGAGCGCAGGAAACUGACGGAACUCUUCGGAGGGAAGGCAGUGGAAUGAGCGGCGGACGGGUGAGUAACACGUAAGGAACCUGCCUCAAGGAUUGGGAUAACUCCGAGAAAUCGGAGCUAAUACCGGAUAGUUCAACGGACCGCAUGGUCCGCCGAUGAAAGGCGCUCCGGCGUCACCUUGAGAUGGCCUUGCGGUGCAUUAGCUAGUUGGUGGGGUAACGGCCCACCAAGGCGACGAUGAAUAGCCGACCUGAGAGGGUGAUCGGCCACACUGGGACCGAGACACGGCCCAGACUCCUACGGGAGGCAGCAGUAGGGAAUCUUCCACAAUGGACGAAAGUCUGAUGGAGCAACGCCGCGUGAGUGAUGAAGGUUUUCGGAUCGUAAAACUCUGUUGUAAGGGAAGAACACGUACGAGAGGGAAUGCUCGUACCUUGACGGUACCUUACGAGAAAGCCACGGCUAACUACGUGCCAGCCGCCGCGGUAAAAC
rnacentral:rRNA from 1 species